GGUUUAAUUCGAAGCAACGCGAAGAACCNUACCAGGUCUUGACAUACUCGUGCUAUUCCUAGAGAUAGGAAGUUCCUUCGGGACACGGGAUACAGGUGGUGCAUGGUUGUCGUCAGCUCGUGUCGUGAGAUGUUGGGUUAAGUCCCGCAACGAGCGCAACCCUUAUUGUUAGUUGCCAUCAUUAAGUUGGGCACUCUAGCGAGACUGCCGGUAAUAAACCGGAGGAAGGUGGGGAUGACGUCAAAUCAUCAUGCCCCUUAUGACCUGGGCUACACACGUGCUACAAUGGUUGGUACAACGAGUCGCAAGACAGUGAUGUCAAGCUAAUCUCUUAAAGCCAAUCUCAGUUCGGANUGUAGGCUGCAACUCGCCUACAUGAAGUCGGAAUCGCUAGUAAUCGCGGAUCAGCACGCCGCGGUGAAUACGUUCCCGGGCCUUGUACACACCGCCCGUCACACCACGAGAGUUUGUAAUACCCAAAGCCGGUGAGCUAACCUUUUAGGAGGCAGCCGUCUAAGGUAGGAUAGAUGAUUGGGGUGAAGUC
rnacentral:rRNA from 1 species